UACGAAGGGGGCUAGCGUUGUUCGGAUUUACUGGGCGUAAAGCGCGGGCAGGUGGCCUUUUAAGUCCUUUGUGAAAUCCCGGAGCUCAACUCCGGAUGUGCAUAGGAUACUGGAAGGCUUGGGACUGGUAGAGGCGAGCGGAAUUCCUGGUGUAGCGGUAGAAUGCGUAGAUAUCAGGAGGAACACCGGUGGCGAAGGCGGGUCUCUGGGCAGUAACUGACGCUGAGGAGCGAAAGCGUGGGGAGCGAACAGG
rnacentral:rRNA from 1 species